GCCACAGGAGACUCGAGUUCCAUCCCUGGAUUGGGAAGAUCCCCUGGAGUGGGAAAUGCAUAAAAUAUUUCCAAGAAGUUAUUUCACAAUUCCUUACUAUCCUAACUGAGAGCCACCACUUUGAUAUGAAGAGGGAAACUGCAUUUCAGGAUAUCCACUCAGAACAACCACAGCAAAUACAACGUUCUUCUUAUUGGUGCAGAUUGAGAACUGAGAGUGUGGACAUGGCCUUGAGGCUGACUUAGUUAUUUCCCACAUGAGGAAUCAAUAAAUGGCAGCAUUUAAAAUUUGAAAAUAAAAUUGGUCUCAUUCUUAAAAACA